rnacentral:lncRNA from 1 species
ACCCAUCCUGUCGAUGGAUUAUAAAUAUCAUAUUACUUAUAAGCAAUACUAAUCUAAGGAAUACCACUCAAAGAGAUCAAAGAUUCUUGAUGUUGGAUCAUGGAAUAUUUCUCUUGACAAGAAUUUACCUACAUGAUAAAAUAUGUAUCACAAGCACUAAGGGCUAUAGCUCAGUUGGUAGAGCAACUCGUUUACACGCGCGCCAAUGUUUUUCAAGGGAGUUCAUCAUACAAUCAGCAAAAUUGAUCUUGUUGAGAAAUCGAUGUCUUACUCCAUAACUUUGAGGGAACCAUAGCCUGACAAAGGUUCGGUCCAAUUUGGACGCCCAUUUAGGAGGUGCCAACCAAACCCCAUCAUUGAUUUGAGAUCUUGAUAAGGUGAAUACCCAGUCUAUUCAAUGCUAGGCAUAAUGAGUAUAAGGACCUCAAAAAAAUCUCUUUUCGUCAUAUGAACUUUAAGGUGUAUGAAGUUUCAUAUUUUAUUUUUAAUCAGAACGAUAGAGACUUCAUUUAACUUAGGUUGAUCUAGGCCAGAGACAGACCUACGUCAAGAUAAUCCCGCCUUUGAAACACUUUGGUAAUGCUCCCAAAUAAGGAAUCAGAGCACAUGGAGCCAUUUCCUUAUCUUAUCUUUUUUUCUGUCAAGAAAAAAAUGGCGGACUAACUGAUAUUUAUAUCAGUUAAUGAAGGAGCCCAAUGCAAAAAAAAUGCAUGUUGGGUCUUUGAAACAGUUCAGAUCAUUUUAAUAAUAAUAAGUUUGAUCUGU